CCGAAUUUCACCCAGAUCGGUUCAGGGGUUUGCAAAAACUAUGGAGGUCUUCUGUGACCGGCUCACCCUGCGCUGUAUGCCCAAAACAAUUCCAUGAGUUUAGUGGGUUUUGCCGGUCACUUUAGAAAUAGAAGAAAACUGAACAAACUACCGAAUGGAUUCCCCUGUCUCUUAGCAGCAAUUGUUCCCCUCUGUCGAAUGCACCAAAGUACAGAAUAGCGCUCUUAUAGCUAUUCGGUAAGUAGAGUUCCAGCGUUCGUCUGUUUGGGACCG